CAUGUUGCCAGGUGACAUCUUUUUUCAGAUCCAGCAGCCGUUUCCUGUAAAGAAUCCCAUCAUCCCUCAGGACGUCAUAUUCACAGCACCCAGCCACCUCCAUGGAAAUACACAAGACCUCUUCUCAAGCCAUCACACACAGCAGUGGGCUCAUACACUCGCACUGGCACCUCAGAAAACUUCAGGUCCUUCACUCGCAGACCAGCAGGAACUGGAUUUGAGCGAGUGAGAAAACAGGCCACGAACCAUCGGAUAAAACUGACCUGAUGACAAAUGCCCAGACGAUGCAGGAUCCGGCCCUGGCAGGAGAGGAAUCGCAAACGUAACCACAAUUGCUGGAGGACAAAGAAAGGACAGCCAUCUUUGAUGAGGGCCUAAACGAUUCUGGCUGAUUUUUCUUAAUAAUACACCAGCAGAGGUAUUUUCCUUUACUCUAAGGAUUUCAUUAGUUUAAUAUUUGUUGUUUUUUUUUAAAGGUUA